AUUCCAGGAAGGUGGAGCCAGUUG
rnacentral:piRNA from 1 species